rnacentral:lncRNA from 1 species
CUCACUUUUCACUUUCAUGCAUUGGAGAAGGAAAUGGCAACCCACUCCAGUGUUCUUGCCUGGAGAAUCCCAGGGACGGGGGAGCCUGGUGGGCUGCCGUCUAUGGGGUUGCACAGGGUCGGACACGACUGAAGCGACUUAGCAGCAGCAGCAUAGUGUCCUCCACAUAAAAAACAAAAACAAAAAACCAAAAAGCUUCUUAUCCUAGAAAUUUUAAGCUUCGCAACAUGAAGAAAUACAGGGCUUCUUUCCUUGACACGCUGUCUUACAGUCAAAGCGCUGUCUACAGUUCCUUUCAAGACUUCAGAAACUCGAGAACUACUCGGAAUGUGAGCGGACGGGGCAGGAGUGAAGUGAAGGAGAGUAAAAUGGUGGGGAUGAUGCCAGCACUGAAUUCUCGAGUCACGUUACUGAACAUAGUGGAUCAACACAAAGAUAAAGAGGCUGGCUUUGUGGGCAUGCAAUCUAUGCAGUCACCGAGUCUGAGUCCCCGCGCCCAGAAAAGCUUCUUGAUUUGUUUAAUGGUUUUUGGUCCCCUUAAAAUUUUUAAUAUUUGUUGUAAAUUAUUUAAUUGGUUCUGAGGCAAAUUAGAGGUAAUGCUUAUUUUGAUGAUGAACUGUGAAUAAUAACAGAAGUACCAGACUGGAAGAUCUCACCUAGGAUGCAUCACUAAUUAAUAGUCUGAGCACUGGAAGUUAACCAUUUAAUCUAUCUGGUGAACUUGGUGAGUGAGUUAAACUGGAGCAGUAGUUUAAAGCAGAUGAUACAUUCCUUAUGAUUUUUGAUUUUUGCUGCAGCGGGGAAGAGCUUCCCUGGUGGCUCAGAUGGCAAAGAAUCUGCCUGUAAUACAGGAGACCUGGGUUUGAUCCCUGGGUCAGGAAGAUCCCGUGGAGAGGGGAAUGGCAACCCAUUCCAGUGUUCUUGCCUGGAGAAUUCCAUGGACAGAGGAGACUGGUGGGCUUUAUAGUCCAUGGAGUUGCAAAGAGUCAGACAUGACUGAGCAGCUAACACUGCUACUACUGAUGGAGGGGAACGAGGGGACCAGCCUCUGGGUCCCUGUUCCUGCUUCAGUGUGAAGAGUGGGUCUUUUGUCUCUUGCAUGUUCCAAAGGUCUCUUCAGGGUCAACUACACUAUUCUAGGAAUAGUAUUCUUGGAGGUCAGAACUUAUGACUGGGGAUGAGGUAAAAACAGAGAGGCAUAGAGUGCAGUGAUUUUCCAGGAUGAAAGGAGUUUAUGUAAAGAUUUGGACUGGGAAGGGCCAGAUGCCAAGAAAAUUAUGAUGGCAAAUUAAACUCCUCACUUGCCAGCUGAAAUACUGUCUGCAAUGAAUUCUUCCUUGAUUCACCUCAUUUCUUCUGACAUUUCUUUCAUCUGAACUCCCAUUGGCCUUAAGAUCUUAUCACUCAUUUGACACAAACAUGCUGCUUUAAAUAACAUUUUGAUAAAAAUGCUAAUAUUAGCAUUGCAGUACUGUAUUUUUUGUUUCUG